rnacentral:rRNA from 1 species
AUCCCUUCGGGGUGACGAUGUAAGUAUCUUAGCGGCAAACGGGUGAGUAACGCGUGAGAAACCUGCCAUUCACAGGGGGAUAGCCUCGGGAAACCGGGAUUAAUACCCCAUGAUACUGGACCAUUACAUGAUGGAUCAGUUAAAGCGUAAAGCGGUGAAUGAUGGUCUUGCGUCCCAUUAGCUAGUUGGUGAGAUAAAAGCUCACCAAGGUAACGAUGGGUAGCCGGCCUGAGAGGGUGAUCGGCCACACUGGAACUGAGAACGGUCCAGACUCC